rnacentral:rRNA from 1 species
GGAGGGUGCAAGCGUUGUCCGGAUUUAUUGGGUUUAAAGGGUGCGUAGGUGGCGUGUUAAGUCAGUGGUGAAAGCCUGCAGCUCAACUGUAGAGGUGCCAUUGAUACUGACAUGCUUGAGUAUGGACGAGGUAGGCGGAAUUUGUGGUGUAGCGGUGAAAUGCAUAGAUACCACAAGGAACACCGAUAGCGAAGGCAGCUUACUGGACCAUAACUGACACUGAGGCACGAAAGCGUGGGGAGCGAACAGGAUUAGAUACCCUGGUAGUCCACGCCCGUAAACGAUGCUCACUCGAUGUAUGCGAUAUACUGUAUGCGUCCAAGCGAAAGCGUUAAGUGAGCCACCUGGGGAGUACGCUCGCAAGAGUG